rnacentral:rRNA from 1 species
UACGAAGGGGGCUAGCGUUGUUCGGAAUUACUGGGCGUAAAGCGUGCGCAGGCGGCUUCCCAAGUCAGGCGUGAAAGCCCUGGGCUCAACCCGGGAAUUGCGCUUGAGACUGGUGUGCUUGAGUACGGGAGAGGAUAGUGGAAUUCCCAGUGUAGAGGUGAAAUUCGUAGAUAUUGGGAAGAACACCGGUGGCGAAGGCGGCUAUCUGGACCGUAACUGACGCUGAGGCGCGAAAGCGUGGGGAGCAAACAGG